AUUGAACGCUGGCGGCAGGCCUAACACAUGCAAGUCGAGCGGAUGACGGGAGCUUGCUCCUUGAUUCAGCGGCGGACGGGUGAGUAAUGCCUAGGAAUCUGCCUGGUAGUGGGGGACAACGUUUCGAAAGGAACGCUAAUACCGCAUACGUCCUACGGGAGAAAGCAGGGGACCUUCGGGCCUUGCGCUAUCAGAUGAGCCUAGGUCGGAUUAGCUAGUUGGUGGGGUAAUGGCUCACCAAGGCGACGAUCCGUAACUGGUCUGAGAGGAUGAGCAGCAACACUGGAACUGAGACACGGUCCAGACUCCUACGGGAGGCAGCAGUGGGGAAUAUUGGACAAUGGGCGAAAGCCUGAUCCAGCCAUGCCGCGUGUGUGAAGAAGGUCUUCGGAUUGUAAAGCACUUUAAGUUGGGAGGAAGGGCAGUAAGCUAAUACCUUGCUGUUUUGACGUUACCGACAGAAUAAGCACCGGCUAACUCUGUGCCAGCCGCCGCAGUAA
rnacentral:rRNA from 1 species